rnacentral:rRNA from 1 species
GACGAACGCUGGCGGCGUGCUUAACACAUGCAAGUCGAACGGAAAGGCCCUGCUUUUGUGGGUGCUCGAGUGGCGAACGGGUGAGUAACACGUGAGUAACCUGCCCUUGACUUUGGGAUAACUUCAGGAAACUGGGGCUAAUACCGGAUAGGAGCUCCUGCUGCAUGGUGGGGGUUGGAAAGUUUCGGCGGUUGGGGAUGGACUCGCGGCUUAUCAGCUUGUUGGUGGGGUAGUGGCUUACCAAGGCUUUGACGGGUAGCCGGCCUGAGAGGGUGACCGGCCACAUUGGGACUGAGAUACGGCCCAGACUCCUACGGGAGGCAGCAGUGGGGAAUAUUGCACAAUGGGCGGAAGCCUGAUGCAGCAACGCCGCGUGCGGGAUGACGGCCUUCGGGUUGUAAACCGCUUUCGCCUGUGACGAAGCGUGAGUGACGGUAGUGGGUAAAGAAGCACCGGCUAACUACGUG